rnacentral:rRNA from 1 species
UACGUAGGCAGCAAGCGUUGUUCGGAAUUACUGGGCGUAAAGAGUGUGUAGGCGGUGCUCUAAGUUCGGUGUGAAAUCUCCUGGCUCAACUGGGAGGGUGCGCCGGAAACUGGGGUGCUGGAGCGCGGGAGAGGAAAGCGGAAUUCCUGGUGUAGCGGUGGAAUGCGUAGAUAUCAGGAGGAACACCGGCGGUGUAGACGGCUUUCUGGACGGUUUCUGACGCUAAGACGCGAAAGCGUGGGGAGCAAACAGG